rnacentral:rRNA from 1 species
GUAGCUGGUCUGAGAGGAUGACCAGCCACACUGGAACUGAGACACGGUCCAGACUCCUACGGGAGGCAGCAGUGGGGAAUAUUGGACAAUGGGGGCAACCCUGAUCCAGCAAUGCCGCGUGUGUGAAGAAGGCCUGAGGGUUGUAAAGCACUUUCAGUGGGGAGGAGGGUUGAUAGGUUAAGAGCURAUUAAUUGGACGUUACCCACAGAAGAAGCACCGGCUAACUCCGUGCCAGCAGCCGCGGUAAUACGGAGGGUGCGAGCGUUAAUCGGAAUUACUGGGCGUAAAGGGUGCGUAGGUGGUUAGUUAAGUUAUCUGUGAAAUCCCUGGGCUYAACCUGGGCAGGUCAGAURAUACUGUUUGACUCGAGUAUGG